CUACGGGACGCAGCAGUGGGGAAUAUUGGGCAAUGGGCGAAAGCCUGACCCAGCAACGCCGCGUGAGUGAAGAAGGCUUUCGGGUUGUAAAGCUCUGUUGGUAGGGACGAAGGAAGUGACGGUACCUACCAAGGAAGCCCCGGCUAACUACGUGCCAGCAGCCGCGGUAAUACGUAGGGGGCAAGCGUUGUCCGGAAUGACUGGGCGUAAAGGGCGUGUAGGCGGCCGAUUAAGUCCGGAGUGAAAGUCCUGCUUUCAAGGUGGGAAUUGCUUUGGAGACUGGUUGGCUUGAGUGCGGAAGAGGUAAGUGGAAUUCCCAGUGUAGCGGUGAAAUGCGUAGAGAUUGGGAGGAACACCAGUGGCGAAGGCGACUUACUGGGCCGUAACUGACGCUGAGGCGCGAAAGCGUGGGGAGCGAACAGGAUUAGAUACCCCAGUAGUC
rnacentral:rRNA from 1 species